GCUAGCUACAGGCUUAACACAUGCAAGUCGAGGGGCAGCAUUGAGAUAGCUUGCUAUUCAGAUGGCGACCGGCGCACGGGUGAGUAACGCGUAUCCAACCUUCCCUAUAGUAGAGAAUAGCCCGGCGAAAGUCGGAUUAAUGCUCUAUGUUUUCCAAUGCGGACAUCUAAAAUGGAACAAAGGCUUGCCGCUAUAGGAUGGGGAUGCGUCUGAUUAGGUUGUUGGCGGGGUAACGGCCCACCAAGCCUUCGAUCAGUAGGGGUUCUGAGAGGAAGGUCCCCCACAUUGGAACUGAGACACGGUCCAAACUCCUACGGGAGGCAGCAGUGAGGAAUAUUGGUCAAUGGGCGAGAGCCUGAACCAGACCCAAGUAGCGUGCAGGAUGACGGCCCUAUGGGUUGUAAACUGCUUUUAUACGGGGAUAAAGUGAGGGACGUGUCCCUUUUUGUAGGUACCGUAUGAAUAAGGACCGGCUAAUUCCGUGCCAGCCGCCGC
rnacentral:rRNA from 1 species